UACACACCUUGUACCACAAGGUACACCGCCCGCAUUAAUAUCAUUUAUAGUACUAAUUGAAACAAUUAGUAAUGUUAUUCGACCAGGUACAUUAGCAGUACGGUUAGCAGCAAAUACAAUUGCAGGACACUUAUUAUUAACAUUAUUAGGAAACACAGGACCAUCUAUAGCAAUAAACUUAAUCUCAUUACUAAUUAUUGGACAAAUACUACUAUUAAUUCUAGAAUCAGCAGUAGCAAUAAUUCAAGCCUAUGUUUUCUCAAUUCUAAGAACUCUAUAUUCUAGAGAAGUAUAUUAAACCUA